rnacentral:rRNA from 1 species
AGGCUCAGUAACACGUAGUCAACAUGCCCAGGGGACGUGGAUAACCUCGGGAAACUGAGGAUAAACCGCGAUAAGUCACUACUUCUGGAAUGGGUAAUGACUAAAAUCUAUAUGGCCCCUGGAUUGGACUGCGGCCGAUCAGGCUGUUGGUGAGGUAAUGGCCCACCAAACCUGUAACCGGUACGGGCUCUGAGAGGAGGAGCCCGGAGAUGGGCACUGAGACAAGGGCCCAGGCCCUAUGGGGCGCAGCAGGCGCGAAACCUCUGCAAUAGGCGAAAGCCUGACAGGGUUACUCUGAGUGAUUUCCGUUAAGGAGAUCUUUUGGCACCUCUAAAAAUGGUGCAGAAUAAGGGGUGGGCAAGUCUGGUGUCAGCCGCCGCGGUAAUACCAGCACCCCGAGUGGUCGGGACGUUUAUUGGGCCUAAAGCAUCCGUAGCCGGUUCUACAAGUCUUCCGUUAAAUCCACCUGCUUAACAGAUGGGCUGCGGAAGAUACUAUGGAGCUAGGAGGCGGGAGAGGCAAGCGGUACUCGAUGGGUAGGGGUAAAAUCCGUUGAUCCAUUGAAGACCACCAGUGGCGAAGGCGGCUUGCCAGAACGCGCUCGACGGUGAGGGAUGAAAGCUGGGGGAGCAAACCGGAUUAGAUACCCGGGUAGUCCCAGCUGUAAACGAUGCAGACUCGGUGAUGAGUUGGCUUCUUGCCAACUCAGUGCCGCAGGGAAGCCGUUAAGUUUGCCGCCUGGGGAGUACGGUCGCAAGACUGAAACUUAAAGGAAUUGGCGGGGGAGCAC